rnacentral:rRNA from 2 species
GGGUUGUGAGGUUAAGCGACUAAGCGUACACGGUGGAUGCCCUGGCAGUCAGAGGCGAUGAAGGACGUGCUAAUCUGCGAUAAGCGUCGGUAAGGUGAUAUGAACCGUUAUAACCGGCGAUUUCCGAAUGGGGAAACCCAGUGUGUUUCGACACACUAUCAUUAACUGAAUCCAUAGGUUAAUGAGGCGAACCGGGGGAACUGAAACAUCUAAGUACCCCGAGGAAAAGAAAUCAACCGAGAUUCCCCCAGUAGCGGCGAGCGAACGGGGAGGAGCCCAGAGCCUGAAUCAGUGUGUGUGUUAGUGGAAGCGUCUGGAAAGGCGCGCGAUACAGGGUGACAGCCCCGUACACAAAAAUGCACAUGCUGUGAGCUCGAUGAGUAGGGCGGGACACGUGGUAUCCUGUCUGAAUAUGGGGGGACCAUCCUCCAAGGCUAAAUACUCCUGACUGACCGAUAGUGAACCAGUACCGUGAGGGAAAGGCGAAAAGAACCCCGGCGAGGGGAGUGAAAAAGAACCUGAAACCGUGUACGUACAAGCAGUGGGAGCACGCUUAGGCGUGUGACUGCGUACCUUUUGUAUAAUGGGUCAGCGACUUAUAUUCUGUAGCAAGGUUAACCGAAUAGGGGAGCCGAAGGGAAACCGAGUCUUAACUGGGCGUUAAGUUGCAGGGUAUAGACCCGAAACCCGGUGAUCUAGCCAUGGGCAGGUUGAAAGUUGGGUAACACUAACUGGAGGACCGAACCGACUAAUGUUGAAAAAUUAGCGGAUGACUUGUGGCUGGGGGUGAAAGGCCAAUCAAACCGGGAGAUAGCUGGUUCUCCCCGAAAGCUAUUUAGGUAGCGCCUCGUGAAUUCAUCUCCGGGGGUAGAGCACUGUUUCGGCAAGGGGGUCAUCCCGACUUACCAACCCGAUGCAAACUGCGAAUACCGGAGAAUGUUAUCACGGGAGACACACGGCGGGUGCUAACGUCCGUCGUGAAGAGGGAAACAACCCAGACCGCCAGCUAAGGUCCCAAAGUCAUGGUUAAGUGGGAAACGAUGUGGGAAGGCCCAGACAGCCAGGAUGUUGGCUUAGAAGCAGCCAUCAUUUAAAGAAAGCGUAAUAGCUCACUGGUCGAGUCGGCCUGCGCGGAAGAUGUAACGGGGCUAAACCAUGCACCGAAGCUGCGGCAGCGACGCUGAUGCGUUGUUGGGUAGGGGAGCGUUCUGUAAGCCUGUGAAGGUGUGCUGUGAGGCAUGCUGGAGGUAUCAGAAGUGCGAAUGCUGACAUAAGUAACGAUAAAGCGGGUGAAAAGCCCGCUCGCCGGAAGACCAAGGGUUCCUGUCCAACGUUAAUCGGGGCAGGGUGAGUCGACCCCUAAGGCGAGGCCGAAAGGCGUAGUCGAUGGGAAACAGGUUAAUAUUCCUGUACUUGGUGUUACUGCGAAGGGGGGACGGAGAAGGCUAUGUUGGCCGGGCGACGGUUGUCCCGGUUUAAGCGUGUAGGCUGGUUUUCCAGGCAAAUCCGGAAAACUAAGGCUGAGGCGUGAUGACGAGGCACUACGGUGCUGAAGCAACAAAUGCCCUGCUUCCAGGAAAAGCCUCUAAGCAUCAGGUAACAUCAAAUCGUACCCCAAACCGACACAGGUGGUCAGGUAGAGAAUACCAAGGCGCUUGAGAGAACUCGGGUGAAGGAACUAGGCAAAAUGGUGCCGUAACUUCGGGAGAAGGCACGCUGAUAUGUAGGUGAAGUCCCUCGCGGAUGGAGCUGAAAUCAGUCGAAGAUACCAGCUGGCUGCAACUGUUUAUUAAAAACACAGCACUGUGCAAACACGAAAGUGGACGUAUACGGUGUGACGCCUGCCCGGUGCCGGAAGGUUAAUUGAUGGGGUCAGCGCAAGCGAAGCUCUUGAUCGAAGCCCCGGUAAACGGCGGCCGUAACUAUAACGGUCCUAAGGUAGCGAAAUUCCUUGUCGGGUAAGUUCCGACCUGCACGAAUGGCGUAAUGAUGGCCAGGCUGUCUCCACCCGAGACUCAGUGAAAUUGAACUCGCUGUGAAGAUGCAGUGUACCCGCGGCAAGACGGAAAGACCCCGUGAACCUUUACUAUAGCUUGACACUGAACAUUGAGCCUUGAUGUGUAGGAUAGGUGGGAGGCUUUGAAGUGUGGACGCCAGUCUGCAUGGAGCCGACCUUGAAAUACCACCCUUUAAUGUUUGAUGUUCUAACGUUGACCCGUAAUCCGGGUUGCGGACAGUGUCUGGUGGGUAGUUUGACUGGGGCGGUCUCCUCCUAAAGAGUAACGGAGGAGCACGAAGGUUGGCUAAUCCUGGUCGGACAUCAGGAGGUUAGUGCAAUGGCAUAAGCCAGCUUGACUGCGAGCGUGACGGCGCGAGCAGGUGCGAAAGCAGGUCAUAGUGAUCCGGUGGUUCUGAAUGGAAGGGCCAUCGCUCAACGGAUAAAAGGUACUCCGGGGAUAACAGGCUGAUACCGCCCAAGAGUUCAUAUCGACGGCGGUGUUUGGCACCUCGAUGUCGGCUCAUCACAUCCUGGGGCUGAAGUAGGUCCCAAGGGUAUGGCUGUUCGCCAUUUAAAGUGGUACGCGAGCUGGGUUUAGAACGUCGUGAGACAGUUCGGUCCCUAUCUGCCGUGGGCGCUGGAGAACUGAGGGGGGCUGCUCCUAGUACGAGAGGACCGGAGUGGACGCAUCACUGGUGUUCGGGUUGUCAUGCCAAUGGCACUGCCCGGUAGCUAAAUGCGGAAGAGAUAAGUGCUGAAAGCAUCUAAGCACGAAACUUGCCCCGAGAUGAGUUCUCCCUGACUCCUUGAGAGUCCUGAAGGAACGUUGAAGACGACGACGUUGAUAGGCCGGGUGUGUAAGCGCAGCGAUGCGUUGAGCUAACCGGUACUAAUGAACCGUGAGGCUUAACCUUACAACGCCGAAGCUGUU